UGGGGAAUUUUGGACAAUGGGCGAAAGCCUGAUCCAGCAAUGCCGCGUGUGUGAAGAAGGCCUUCGGGUUGUAAAGCACUUUUGUCAGGAAAGAAAUCCUUGGCUCUAAUACAGUCGGGGAGUGACGGUACCGGAAGAAUAAGCACCGGCUAACUACGUGCCAGCAGCCGCGGUAAUACGUAGGGUGCAAGCGUUAAUCGGAAUUACUGGGCGUAAAGCGUGCGCAGGCGGUUUGCUAAGACCGAUGUGAAAUCCCCGGCGUCAACCUGGGAACUGCAUUGGUGACUGGCAGGCUAGAGUAUGGCAGAGGGGGGUAGAAUUCCACGUGUAGCAGUGAAUGCGUAGAGAUGUGGAGGAAUACCGAUGGCGAAGGCAGCCCCCUGGCCAAUACUGACGCUCAUGCACGAAGCGUGGGGAGCAAACAGGAUUAGAUA
rnacentral:rRNA from 1 species